GCCAGUUUGGCUCAGUGGAUAGAGCGUCGGCCUGCUGACUGAAGGGUCGCAGGUUCGAUUCCUGCCAAGGGCA
rnacentral:tRNA from 1 species